UACGUAGGGCGCGAGCGUUAUCCGGAAUUAUUGGGCGUAAAGAGCUCGUAGGCGGUUUGUCACGUCUGCUGUGAAAACUGGAGGCUCAACCUCCAGCCUGCAGUGGGUACGGGCAGACUAGAGUGCGGUAGGGGAGAUUGGAAUUCCUGGUGUAGCGGUGGAAUGCGCAGAUAUCAGGAGGAACACCGAUGGCGAAGGCAGAUCUCUGGGCCGUAACUGACGCUGAGGAGCGAAAAGCAUGGGGAGCGAACAGG
rnacentral:rRNA from 1 species